GCAACCAACAGGGCCAGCUCAGCUCACAAGCUCAGAAACCUACCACCCAAGACAGGCUGUGGGCCUCACAUCAGAGGUGCUGCUCCAGCAGUCAAAUACUUGCCAGCCAAAAGCAUAACAGGAAAUGGCAAGGUACACACGCAGCAGGAGCAAAAGCAGGAACUGUCGCUGGAGGCAAUCCAGGGGAGGUCGCGGAGGAAGAUACAGAAGGAGGCGGCGUAGGAAGAGAUAUGGGAGAAGGAGGAGGAGGAGGAGAGGUCGUAGAUAUCGGUCAAGCAGAAGGAGGAGGAGGAGGAGAGGGAGGAGGAGGAGGAGGAGGAGCUAUUAAACUCCAGAUGGUUUCCUGUUCUCCUUGACUCUGAAAUUUGAAAACUCAUCAACCAUCGUCUCCAAUUUCUGCUCACCAAAAUGGCAUAAAAACCAAACCAAAAUUAAAACAAUCCUUCCAUCAAAACCCUAGCAAUGACCUCCCAAGACGGAAGCAGCCUGCUAGAGUAUGAACACCAGCACCUGUCAAUAAAGCUGUGAAACUUCA